rnacentral:rRNA from 1 species
CUUUAUUGGAGAGUUUGAUCCUGGCUCAGGAUGAACGCUGGCGGCGUGCCUAAUACAUGCAAGUCGAGCGAAUGGAUUGAGAGCUUGCUCUCAAGAAGUUAGCGGCGGACGGGUGAGUAACACGUGGGUAACCUGCCCAUAAGACUGGGAUAACUCCGGGAAACCGGGGCUAAUACCGGAUAAUAUUUUGAACUGCAUGGUUCGAAAUUGAAAGGCGGCUUCGGCUGUCACUUAUGGAUGGACCCGCGUCGCAUUAGCUAGUUGGUGAGGUA